UGGGGAAUAUUGGACAAUGGGCGCAAGCCUGAUCCAGCCAUACCGCGUGGGUGAAGAAGGCCUUCGGGUUGUAAAGCCCUUUUGUUGGGAAAGAAAUCCAGCCGGCUAAUACCUGGUUGGGAUGACGGUACCCAAAGAAUAAGCACCGGCUAACUUCGUGCCAGCAGCCGCGGUAAUACGAAGGGUGCAAGCGUUACUCGGAAUUACUGGGCGUAAAGCGUGCGUAGGUGGUCGUUUAAGUCCGUUGUGAAAGCCCUGGGCUCAACCUGGGAACUGCAGUGGAUACUGGGCGACUAGAGUGUGGUAGAGGGUAGCGGAAUUCCUGGUGUAGCAGUGAAAUGCGUAGAGAUCAGGAGGAACAUCCAUGGCGAAGGCAGCUACCUGGACCAACACUGACACUGAGGCACGAAAGCGUGGGGAGCAAACAGGAUUAGAUACCCUGGUAGUCCACGCCCUAAACGAUGCGAACUGGAUGUUGGGUGCAAUUUGGCA
rnacentral:rRNA from 1 species